rnacentral:rRNA from 1 species
CCCUAUGGGGUGCAGCAGGCCAAUCCGGCGGCAACUCGACCACGCGGCCACGACCGGCCUGUGACGUACCGCGUCGACUAUCAUCGAAAAUGCGAACCUCUCGAAAGUUCGGUCAAUGACCGUGCACUUCCCGGCAGCCGGCCGCAAUCGGCUGCCGGGAAGUGGAAGACCCGCGUGGCGGCACCUUCCACUUGGCCGAUGCUGACCCAAGACCGACAAACUCGUGUCCGGGCGGCAGGGCGUCCGGGAGGCCUCAUCUGCUUCCCCUGGUGCGGACAAACCUUCGAGUGUAUCCUCGUCCGAUGGGUCAUGCCGUCUGAGUUCAAGGAACACAACGGCGUCCCUUAUCAACAACACCUGCCGGCGAAAAACCUCGAAGAAGCGAAAUCAGCCGUUCAAAUCCAUCAGUUGAUGAAAAGGAUGAGUGCGCGGGAGAGC